rnacentral:rRNA from 1 species
UCCUACGGGAGGCAGCAGUGGGGAAUAUUGGACAAUGGGCGAAAGCCUGAUCCAGCCAUGCCGCGUGUGUGAAGAAGGUCUUCGGAUUGUAAAGCACUUUAAGUUGGGAGGAAGGGCUCUAUAAGCACUAAUACUGCUGAUAAUUUGACGUACCGAC